rnacentral:rRNA from 1 species
GAUGAACGCUUAGCGACAGGCUUAACACAUGACAAGUUCGAGGGGCAACGGGACGUAGCAAUACGUUGCCGGCGACCGGCGGAUGGGUGAGUAGCGCGUAUGCAACCUUACCCACGACAGGGGGAUAGCCCGUUGAAAGACGGAUUAAUACCCCAUAAAACAGGGGUUCCGCAUGGGACUAUUUGUUAAAGGGUUCUCCGCGAGGGGGACAUCGGUUGUGGAUGGGCAUGCGUUCCAUUAGGCAGUUGGUGAGGUAACGGCUCACCAAACCGACGAUGGAUAGGGGAACCGAGAGGUUGGUCCCCCACACUGGUACUGAGAUACGGACCAGACUCCUACGGGAGGCAGCAGUGAGGAAUUUUGGUCAAUGGACGGAAGUCUGAACCAGCCAAGUCGCGUGAAGGAAGGCGGCCCUAAGGGUUGUAAACUUCUUUUGUAAGGGAAUAAAGUGCGUUACGUGUAGUGCAUUGCAAGUACCUUACGAAUAAGGAUCGGCUAACUCCGUG